rnacentral:rRNA from 1 species
UAAUGCCGGAUGCUCCGACUCCUCGCAUGGGGUGUCGGGAAAGAUUUCAUCGGUAUGGGAUGGGGUCGCGUCCUAUCAGGUAGUCGGCGGGGUAACGGCCCACCGAGCCUACGACGGGUAGCCGGCCUGAGAGGGCGACCGGCCACAUUGGGACUGAGAUACGGCCCAGACUCCUACGGGAGGCAGCAGUGGGGAAUAUUGCACAAUGGGCGCAAGCCUGAUGCAGCGACGCCGCGUGCGGGAUGACGGCCUUCGGGUUGUAAACCGCUUUUGAUCGGGAGCAAGCCUUCGGGUGAGUGUACCUUUCGAAUAAGCACCGGCUAACUACGUGCCAGCAGCCGCGGUAAUACGUAGGGUGCAAGCGUUAUCCGGAAUUAUUGGGCGUAAAGGGCUCGUAGGCGGUUCGUCGCGUCCGGUGUGAAAGUCCAUCGCUUAACGGUGGAUCUGCGCCGGGUACGGGCGGGCUGGAGUGCGGUAGGGGAGACUGGAAUUCCCGGUGUAACGGUGGAAUGUGUAGAUAUCGG